rnacentral:lncRNA from 1 species
CACACUUUUGGCCGACAAUCGUGGGUGACAAGGCCGCAUCCACACUACCAUUUGCUAUUGGGAAAUCACUAUAUAAUUCGACCUCCAUCCUCUAUGGAAAGACACACAUCCAAAACACUCUCCUUCCUUGCUAAACGCAUCUACAACCAAACAUUUCAACAUACUUAGUUUUCUUUCUCCCUGGAAACACCUCUUCAACUAAGUCAUAGCAGAGCAAAAGUAUCUCAUAUCACUAGGGUUGAAAGCAAGAGUAUCUCAUAGCACGAUUCCUCCCUAUCCUUUUCUUUGUCUUCGUUCUUCUUUGCAGGGCAAGGAGAAAGAGAGCAAUCAAUCGACACUUGAAAUCAACCUUUCAAUUUGGAACUGACUUCCUGGAAUCCCUUACCUAAUUGCUCACCUAGCAUUACUCUCCAGUACUCAUCUUCAACUAUUGAUGCACUGCCGAAAAAGAUACCAGAUGCCUGGAGAACAGAUGAGGCAAGUGAAAAUGAUGCAUCGAAGCAUGUGGAGACAAGCGCAACAAAUACAUGUGCUGAUCAUCCGCUACUUCUUCAAAAGCAAAAGUAUCUUAUAUUAUCAGGGUCGAAAGCAAAGGUAUCUCAUAUCAUGCUUUUCCCCUAUCUUUUCCUUUG